rnacentral:snoRNA from 1 species
CUGCAGCCAAUUAGCCACUGAGUUCCUUCCUCAUGGGCCCAGUGUGCAAUGGCUGCAAACAAGCAGCUUCCCUGGUAGUGGAUGCAACCUGUUGUUGUAUGGGUUGCUCUAAGGGACCUUGGAAGGACAGUC